GUAAGGUUUCUGCAUUUGGAGGCAGCUCUAAAGUAUUAUAUACUUUACUGUUAUUAUCUUCAAAAGAUGUUCAGUUCAAACAGAACCAGAAUGAGAAAAGUACAAUUCCCUCGAGAAAGCCAAACUACAAAGUGCUGUGAGUGCAGCUCGAGUGGAAGCAUUUUAAAAUCUUCUGGUGGGCUGAGAACGUUCAUAAACUUCUUUUUCUGCUCGAGCGUUGCCGACUUAAAGAAAGCUCUGUUUGCUCGGGACUCAAAAGGGACCCCGGAGUUCACUGAGGCUUCCCAUGUCCCCCCCACUCACACACUGAUGGGACGGCGGAACAAACUGGACCCUCUUCUGUGUUCUGGUGACACGAGGACAUGGAGACAUCCGGAAG
ensembl:lncRNA